rnacentral:rRNA from 1 species
AGUGAACGCUGGCGGUAGGCCUAACACAUGCAAGUCGAACGGCAGCACAGUAAGAGCUUGCUCUUACGGGUGGCGAGUGGCGGACGGGUGAGGAGUACAUCGGAAUCUACUUUUUCGUGGGGGAUAACGUAGGGAAACUUACGCUAAUACCGCAUACGACCUACGGGUGAAAGCAGGGGAUCUUCGGACCUUGCGCGAUUGAAUGAGCCGAUGUCGGAUUAGCUAGUUGGCGGGGUAAAGGCCCACCAAGGCGACGAUCCGUAGCUGGUCUGAGAGGAUGAUCAGCCACACUGGAACUGAGACACGGUCCAGACUCCUACGGGAGGCAGCAGUGGGGAAUAUUGGACAAUGGGCGCAAGCCUGAUCCAGCCAUACCGCGUGGGUGAAGAAGGCCUUCGGAUUGUAAAGCCCUUUUGUUGGGAAAGAAAAGCAGCAGGUUAAUACCCCGCUGUUCUGACGGUACCCAAAGAAUAAGCACCGGCUAACUUCGUG